CACUAACACACAGAUCAGCAUUAGAGCACUGAGAGCUUAAACUCACUUCUGACUCCAUCUGAUCAUAUUCACAAUGAAGAGAAACCUCCUCAUCAUCCUCAUCAUCACAUCAGGUGUAUUUGGUGCUGAUGAAAUUGUUUCUAAAAAAGGAGAAUCUGUUACAUUGAGUUGCUCUUUGGGAAGAAGUGGAGCUCUUUUCUGGUACAGACAGUAUCCUAACAGAGCUCUACAGUAUUUACAGCUCCAGCAUUCAGAAGCUGUGCGACUGUGUUCUGAGGCCCACUGUAACAAAACCACAUUCACAGAAGUACAUGCAUGUCUCUACUG